UCUUUGCUAGUAUAUCGGUUAGUACACGUGCCUGUCAUGCGAUAGUGAGUAUUGUGAUUCCGCGCGAAAGCUGGGUUCGACUCCCAGGCAGAGAG